rnacentral:rRNA from 1 species
GACAGAGGGGGCAAGCGUUGCUCGGAAUCACUGGGCGUAAAGGGCGCGUAGGCGGGAUGGCAAGUCGGUCGUGAAAUCCUUCGGCUCAACCGAAGAACGUCGGCCGAUACUGCUGUUCUUGAGGGAUGCAGAGGAGAUUGGAACUCCCGGUGUAGCGGUGAAAUGUGUAGAGAUCGGGAGGAACACCGGUGGCGAAGGCGGGUCUCUGGGCAUUUCCUGACGCUGAGGCGCGAAAGCGUGGGGAGCAAACGGG